rnacentral:rRNA from 1 species
UGGGGAAUUUUGCACAAUGGGGGAAACCCUGAUGCAGCGACGCCGCGUGAUUUAGAAGGCCUUCGGGUUGUAAAAAUCUUUUUUACGGGAUGAAAAUGACAGUACCGUAAGAAUAAGGUCCGGCUAAAUACGUGCCAGCAGCCGCGGUAAUACGUAUGGACCGAGCGUUGUCCGGAAUUACUGGGCGUAAAGGGUUCGCAGGCGGCAUGGCAAGUCCGAUGUAAAAGGCGAAGGCUCAACCUUCGUAAGCAUCGGAAACUGUCAAGCUUGAGUGAAGGAGAGGCAAGUGGAAUUCCUAGUGUAGCGGUGGAAUGCGUAGAUAUUAGGAGGAAUACCGGUGGCGAAGGCGACUUGCUGGACUUCAACUGACGCUGAGGAACGAAAGCGUGGGUAGCAAACAGG